GGGGCUAGGAGGCUCACUGCCUCCUGUUCCAGCUCCUGCUGCUGCUCUGAGGACUCAGGAACACCUUCGAGCUUUGUAGACCUGCGGUCAGCCCUCCAUGCGCAAGACUAAAGCAGCGGAAGAGGAGGCACGGUGGCUCACACCUUUAAUCCCAGUGCUUUGGGAGGCUGAGGCAGGAGGAUCUCUUGAGCCCAGAAAUUCGAGGCUGCACGCACCUCGGCAUCCGCAUUACCAGUGCUUGCGUGGCAGUCCACUAAUCAGGUGAGAACCAUAUUGCUUUUUGCAUCUCAAUGAAGCAAUAGUAGCAAUUUAUCAAGCACUUUUUUUUCCAGACUGGUAUAAAAUUGUAUGUGCUUUUGUAAACCAUUUAACAAUAAAAGUAAAAUACAAAGGGGAACAGGG
rnacentral:sRNA from 1 species